GAAAAAAGGCCCCGACCUCAGAAGGUCCGAGAGCCACAGCUUGGAUCCAACCGGAAAUGCAUGCAGCGUGAUAAAGGGACGAGCGUUGUAAACAACUGUGAAGGGUUUUGCUAGCUGUAACAGGAAUGCCGUUUCAAGAGUCCUUUACUUGAAACUCCAGGAUGUUGUGUGAAGUCCUGCUGUCAUCGUUAUGGUUCCUGUUUGUUAUCUUCUGGGUCGAGACAAUAGGUGUUUGGCUGUUUCUGUCUAUGUUCUACCAAGACCGGGCUUUUUACUACUGGGGAGAUGGGACCCAAAUGCAGACUUUAUGACUCCUCAAGCCCCUACUGAACAAUGGAUGGAAAAACACUUAAGACCUCAUUUGCAAUGUCUAUUAUGGAAUCAUUUUUGCAUGUUCUGUUCAUGGUUUAGUUAACAUGAUGUUUUCAGAGAACUAUUCUUUUGAUGUUACAGGGUAUUUGCAGAUGAUCCUGGACAGAUGAUAAACAUGUUUAGCA